ensembl:lncRNA
GUAAUUAUGUGGACAUGACCAGCGUCUAAACUGCUAGCAGCUGAGGGCAAUACAGACACAUGUGAAAUCCCAGCCAAUGACAGAACAGGGAGGAGACAUGACAGAAACAUAAACAAAACACACGUGUCCAGAUGUCACUACUGUCAACAAUGGAAAAGCAGGUGCUCGCGCAUUCGCGCUUAGAGCACGCUGCUUCAAGGGGAAAUCAUGACAAGUAUAAUAUAAUUGGCCCGUCACAUUUCAUCCUUAAAAAAUAACCGGUGUCAGUGUCAGUCCUGACUGGUUCAUCGUGAGAAGAGGAUUCUCCACACCUACACACACAUUAUGAUGACCGUCACUUUUCCUUAUCUCCUCUACUGGAGGGGCUGGAUUUGGAUCUGAACACUCGCAAUCAGCUUGUGCAUCUCACUGCUGACAUCAUUAUGCUACUCGAGGUUCUUCACACCCCGUCUGGAGAUGCGGGGUUCCCCCCACCUCUCAGAUAUAGAAUCCAGUGAAUUCCCA